rnacentral:misc_RNA from 1 species
GAUGAAGAACGCAGCGAAAUGCGAUACGUAAUGUGAAUUGCAGAAUUCAGUGAAUCAUCGAGUCUUUGAACGCACAUUGCGCCCCCUGGUAUUCCGGGGGGCAUGCAUGUCCGAGCGUCAUUGCUGCCCUCAAGCACGGCUUGUGUGUUGGGCCUCCGUCCUCCUCCCGGGGGACGGGCCCGAAAGGCAGCGGCGGCACCGCGUCCGGUCCUCGAGCGUAUGGGGCUUCGUCACCCGCUCUUGUAGGCCCGGCCGGCGCUUGCCGACACAUCAAUCUUUUUUCCAGGUUGACCUCGGAUCAGGUAGGGAUACCCGCUGAACUUAAGCAUAUCAAUAAGCGGAGGA